AUUAAAUUCUCAAAUAAUGGUUCAUUUUAAAUUUUAAUUUAUUAUGAUAAUAUGGAAUUAGGUUGAAAUCCUAAGCGGUCCUGCCGCCGUAUUGACGGAGCUACCUUCAUUAAGCCCACUGAGCAUAGUGCUUGGGAAGGGGAAGGGAUGCGAUGAUGUCUGAGCCGGAAUACAUGCCAUUAUUUUCUAGGGGAA
rnacentral:ncRNA from 2 species